AGUCCUACGGGGCGCAGCAGUGGGGAAUAUUGGACAAUGGGGGAAACCCUGAUCCAGCGACGCCGCGUGAGUGAAGAAGUAUUUCGGUAUGUAAAUCUCUAUCAGCAGGGAAGAAAAUGACGGUACCUGACGAAAAAGCAUCGGCUAACUCCGUGCCAGCAGCCGCGGUAAUACGGAGGAUGCGAGCGUUAUCCGGAUUUAUUGGGUUUAAAGGGUGCGCAGGCGGGAGAACAAGUCAGCGGUAAAAUGUCGGGGCUCAACCCCGGCAGGCCGUUGAAACUGGUUUGCUAGGAUUGGAGAGAAGG
rnacentral:rRNA from 1 species